GAUGAAGAACGCAGCGAAAUGCGAUAAGUAAUGUGAAUUGCAGAAUUCAGUGAAUCAUCGAAUCUUUGAACGCACAUUGCGCCCGCCAGUAUUCUGGCGGGCAUGCCUGUUCGAGCGUCAUUUCAACCAUCAAGCCCCCGGCUUGUGUUGGGGACCUGCGGCUGCCGCAGGCCCUGAAAAGCAGUGGCGGGCUCGCUGUCACACCGAGCGUAGUAGCAUACAUCUCGCUCUGGGCGUGCUGCGGGUUCCGGCCGUUAAACCACCUUCAUAACCCAAGGUUGACCUCGGAUCAGGUAGGAAGACCCGCUGAACUUAAGCAUAUCAAUAAGCGGAUGA
rnacentral:misc_RNA from 1 species